rnacentral:rRNA from 1 species
UACGUAGGGGGCAAGCGUUGUCCGGAUUUAUUGGGCGUAAAGAGCGUGUAGGCGGCCAGGUAGGUCCGCUGUGAAAACCCGAGGCUCAACCUCGGGACGUCGGUGGAAACCAUUUGGCUAGAGUCCGGAAGAGGAGAGUGGAAUUCCCGGUGUAGCGGUGAAAUGCGCAGAUAUCGGGAAGAACACCCGUGGCGAAGGCGGCUCUCUGGGACGGUACUGACGCUGAGACGCGAAAGCGUGGGGAGCGAACAGG